UACAGAGGGUGCAAGCGUUGUUCGGAAUUACUGGGCGUAAAGCGCGUGUAGGCGGCCUAGUGUGUCGGGCGUGAAAUCCCACGGCUCAACCGUGGAAGUGCACUCGAAACUGCAAGGCUGGAGUACUGGAGAGGAUGGUGGAAUGCUCGGUGUAGAGGUGAAAUUCGUAGAUAUCGAGCGGAACACCGGUGGCGAAGGCGGCCAUCUGGACAGUCACUGACGCUGAGACGCGAAAGCGUGGGGAGCAAACAGG
rnacentral:rRNA from 1 species